UUGGAGACGGCGUCAAGCUUCGAUGUGAUGUCUGAUCCGGGGACAUUUUCUCCACCGAUCUCUUCUAUUAUUUGUCCCUUGCCUACCGUGGCGUUUCUCUUUCUCAAAAUUAGAAUCUUUUUCUAGCAGAAGGGUGGAGUGAUAGAUGGCGAUUUGCUCCCCCUCGUCGGAGUCGUCGUCGGCGACGAGCGGUCGGGCCUGGGUUAUCCACGCGCUGGUCGCCGUCGCGGCGGUAGCGGUGGCGGCGGGCGCCCACGCGGGGUUAUAUUUCAAGUGGUUCAGGAAGGGCCGGAGCCGGGUGGUGGGGAUCAUCCCCGCCCGGUUCUCUUCCUCGCGGUUCGAGGGGAAACCCCUGGUCCAGAUCCUUGGGAAGCCCAUGAUCCAGAGAACAUGGGAGAGAGCAAAGUUGGCUUCUACUUUGGACCAUGUUGUUGUGGCAACGGAUGAUGAGAGGAUUGCAGAAUGUUGUAGAGGAUUUGGAGCUGAUGUGAUAAUGACAUCAGAAUCAUGCAAAAAUGGAACUGAACGCUGCAAUGAAGCACUUCUAAAGCUCGCAAAAAAUUAUGAUAUUGUUGUCAAUAUCCAAGGAGAUGAGCCCCUUAUUGAACCGGAUAUAAUAGAUGGCAUCGUUAGAGCUUUGCAGGGAGCUCCUGAUGCAGUUUUCAGUACUGCAGUCACAUCCUUGAAACAUGAAGAUGGACUUGACCCAAACAGGGUAAAGUGUGUCGUGGAUAAUCGUGGUUAUGCAAUCUACUUCUCAAGGGGUUUGAUCCCAUAUAACAAGUCAGGAAAAGUCAAUCUGCAGUUUCCCUAUCUACUUCAUUUGGGCAUUCAGAGCUUCGAUUCAAAGUUUUUAAGGAUCUAUCCGCAGCUUCCAUCCACUCCACUGCAACUAGAAGAAGAUCUUGAACAACUUAAAGUUCUUGAAAAUGGAUAUAAGAUGAAGGUAAUCAAGGUUGACCACGACGCCCAUGGUGUAGACACUCCUGAAGAUGUUGAAAAAAUAGAAGCAUUGAUGCGAGAGAGGAACAUUGCAUAGAAACGAAAGCAUAUGUGGAGAAAGAAAUGUGAUGCAUACAUCUGAAAUAAGGCCUUGUUUUGUGCAUUCUCCGAAGCAGGGUGUGGCCACAUUUGCCAUGACUUCAACAAUCCCAAAUCAAUAUAGAACACAGAACCGUUGGUGAUUUCCCUGUUGGAUCGUGUGAAAUGCUACUGUUUGAGUUCAUGAAGGAAAUGGUGUCAAUGGGGAUGACGAUAUUGUUGUUGAGAUAAACGACCUGACCAAAUUCCAUGCCUUUCAGCUAUUAUGCAGCUUCAGGUUCAUGAUCAGAAUAAUUGCUUCUGCAAACUUUGAGAGCUUCCAGACUAGCUUUACGACACAUCUAUAAGCCCAGUUAUUUACAAUGAUGUUUGUGAUACGAAUAAUGAGACACAAAACAUCUGGUCCUUGAGUUGUUUGCCUCUGCCACUGAACGUCAAUGAUGGCUUCCUUUGGUUGAGAAGUUGCUUCAAUAAGUGUGAAAGGCCCAAUGCAAGGAGAAUGGGUGGAACACGGUCUAUUCUUUAACAUUGAACUCACUGCUUUGCUGGUGUUUGUAUAUAUGCUUUUUCUGUUUUC